UGCGGGCCCUGUCUUGUGGUCUCUCCCCGCUCCGAGAUGUUCCCGGGAUACUUCCCCGAUCUCGGGCCCGAGCGGUGGGAGACCGGAUGACAGGGCCUGUCGUAU
rfam:Austwickia chelonae NBRC 105200 DNA, contig: ATCHE01.